rnacentral:rRNA from 1 species
GAUGAACGCUGGCGGCGUGCCUAAUACAUGCAAGUCGAGCGAACAGAUGAGGAGCUUGCUCCUCUGACGUUAGCGGCGGACGGGUGAGUAACACGUGGAUAACCUACCUGUAAGACUGGGAUAACUUCGGGAAACCGGAGCUAAUACCGGAUAAUAUAUUGAACCGCAUGGUUCAAUAGUGAAAUACGGUUUUGCUGUCACUUAUAGAUGGAUCCGCGCCGCAUUAGCUAGUUGGUAAGGUAACGGCUUACCAAGGCAACGAUGCGUAGCCGACCUGAGAGGGUGAUCGGCCACACUGGAACUGAGACACGGUCCAGACUCCUACGGGAGGCAGCAGUAGGGAAUCUUCCGCAAUGGGCGAAAGCCUGACGGAGCAACGCCGCGUGAGUGAUGAAGGUCUUCGGAUCGUAAAACUCUGUUAUUAGGGAAGAACAAAUGUGUAAGUAACUAUGCACGUCUUGACGGUACCUAAUCAGAAAGCCACGGCUAACUACGUG